AACCUGGUUGAUCCUGCCAGUAGUGAUAUGCUUGUCUCAAAGGCUAAGCCAUGCAAGUGUUAGUAUAAACUUUUAUACGGUGAAACUGCGAAUGGCUCAUUAAAUCAGUUAUAGUUUAAAUGAUGGUUCACGGGAGCAAUCCCAACUACAUGGAUAACUGUAGUAACAUAGAGCUAAUACAUGCAUAAAGGUCCAACGCAAGAAAGACCCGCACUUAUUAGAUACCAAACCAAUACUGCUCGCAAGGGUGGUAUAAAGGUGAUUCAUAGUAACUGAACAAAUCGCAUGGUCUCGUACCGGCGAUGCAUCAUUCAAAUUUCUGCCCUAUCAACUUGUUGUUAGUGUAUUGUACUAACAAGGUGAUAACGGGUGACGGAGGAUUAGGGUUCGAUUCCGGAGAAGGAGCAUGAGAAACGGCUACUAUUUCUAAGGAAAGCAGCAGGCGCGCAAAUUAUUCAAUGGUAACAAGUUACCGAAAUAGUGACAAAAAAUAACAAUGCCUUGCACUCAGUGUAAGGUAAUUGGAAUGAGUACAAUUUAAAACCCUUAACAAGUAUCAAUUAGAGGGCAAGUCUGGUGCCAGCAGCCGCGGUAAUUCCAGCUCUAAUAGCGUAUAUUAAUAUUGUUGCAGUUAAAACGCUCGUAGUUGAAUCUUAAUACCUCUAGCAGGUUGGUCUACUUGAUUGUAUGACUGCCUGCUUGGUAUUUUCCUACUAGUGACUCGAUCCUGUUCUUAACUGAAUGGGAUAGCUAUCUCUCGGGGUAGUCGCUGCGUUGCAUUAGCUCCCCUUUAGUGCUGUAGAGUGUAAAAACUUGAAAGUAUUAUCGGGGGUCAAGCUAUAGUGAUGUAGUGGAGUUCCAGUUCAUUUACUUUGAGAAAAUUAGAGUGUUCAAAGCAGCCUCUUGGAGCUUUGUAUAUGUUGGCAUGGGAUAAUAAAAUAGGAUCUGGUUGUUCUAUUUAUUGGUUUGAAACGAUUAGAUAAUGAUUAAUAGGGACAGUUGGGGGUAUUUAUAUUAAGUGGCUAGCGGUGAAAUGCUCGGACCCACUUAAGAUAAACUAAAGCGAAAGCAUUUACCAAGGAUGUUUUCAUUAAUCAAGAACGAAAGUUAAGGGAUCGAAGACGAUUAGAUACCGUCGUAGUCUUAACUAUAAACUAUGCCGACCAGGGAUGUGAGUGGUUUCAACUAACUCUUCACGGAGUUAGACUUCCUCUUAUGCACCUUGUGAGAAAUCAUAAGUCAAUGGGUUCUGGGGGAAGUAUGGUCGCAAGUCUGAAACUUAAAGGAAUUGACGGAGGGGCACCACCAGGAGUGGAGCGUGCGGCUUAAUUUGACUCAACACGGGAAAACUUACCAGGUCCGGACAUUUGAAGGAUUGACAGAUUGAUAGCUCUUUCAUGAUUAGAUGGGUGGUGGUGCAUGGCCGUUCUUAGUUGGUGGAGUGAUUUGUCUGGUUAAUUCCGUUAACGAACGAGACCUUUGCCAGCUAACUAGUAAUACUUAUGCUUUGCAUAGGUAGCAUACUUCUUAGAGGGACUAUUGAUUUUCAAAUCAAAGGAAGUAAAGGCGAUAACAGGUCUGUGAUGCCCUUAGAUGUUCUGGGCUGCACGCGCGCUACACUGAUUAGCUCAUCAAGUUUUAGUUUAUACUUUACCUGACGGUAUGGUUAAUCUUCAACGCUAAUCGUGCUUGGGAUAGAUGAUUGCAAUUAUUUAUCUUGAACCAGGAAUUCCUAGUAAUCGCAGGUCAUCAGCCUGCGAUGAUUACGUCCCUGCCCCUUGUACACACCGCCCGUCGCUGCUACCGAUUGAAUGAUCCGGUGAACUCGUCGGAUUGUAUUAGUUUCCCUGUCUUUCGGGAUAGGCGCUAGUGCGAGAAGUUGAGUAAACCUUAUCAUUUAGAGGAAGCAAAAGUCGUAACAAGGUUUCCGUAGGUGAACCUGCAGAAGGAUCA
rnacentral:rRNA from 1 species